CAGUCGCCGCGGGAAUACGUAGGUGGCAAGCGUUGUCCGGAAUUAUUGGGCGUAAAGGGCUCGCAGGCGGUUUCUUAAGUCUGAUGUGAAAUCCCCGGGCUCAACCCGGGAACUGCAUCUGUGACUGCAUAGCUAGAGUACGGUAGAGGGGGAUGGAAUUCCGCGUGUAGCAGUGAAAUGCGUAGAGAUGUGGAGGAAUACCGAUGGCGAAGGCAGCCCCCUGGGCCAAUACUGACGCUCAUGCACGAAAGCGUGGGGAGCAAACAGGAUUAGAUACCCCUGUAGUCCCUGUCUCUUAUAC
rnacentral:rRNA from 1 species